AAAAAAUACAGUUUUGCACUGUUUAUAUCCGACGUUUGACUAUUCGUUUUAUUUGAAUUUUUUGUAUGAUUAGUAUUUUUAUUAUUAUUAGAUGAUAGAACAUAAAUAAUACUUUAUAUGUGACUAUUUUUUUUAUAAAUUUUUCAAAUAAGAUGGAUAGUCAAAUGUUGGACACGGAUACCUACGGCUACACUUAUU
rfam:Oryza glaberrima chromosome 1 Oglab01_0089_6, whole genome shotgun sequence.